CCUACAGGUACUUGAUGAGAUGCCACUAAGUCAGUUUGCUAUCUCAGGUUAUAUUGGACGGUAAUUUAUUUUACAAUACAACUACAUCUUUCUUGAAUCAGACUCGGCCUAUUUCUGUGCAAUUUUGUUCUAUAGCUAUUUUUUUGGUGGCUUUCUUUGUUUUGCUUUAUGUUGUAUAGUCAGUACAAAACUCAAGCCCCAUCAUCUGACAAUUCUGUAGUAAUGACUGAAACUAUUCGAGGACAAAUCUUCGAUUGUUGUUGUCGUUGGAAAUUAGAGUUGCAUGGUUGGCAUGGUCAACAUGGCAAAGAAAGUAUAGAAGAUUUGCCAAACCAGGUAUGGGCUUGUAGAGUACCUCAGGUAAUCAGAUUCUGCACCCAAAUUUAAUUUUACUUGCUUUUAAAUGAUUCUAGGGCACAUGAUGUUGAUAUGCUAGAUUGUGUUGUAGUUUAUGCUUGUCUGAUUAUGUAUAUUUUCUUACAGAACGUCAUAUUUCUUUUUUGAGAAAUUAUAUAGGUGUAGGCUGAGCAUGGACGUUUGCGCUGUUGUGUGUGUUGAGGUCAAUCUCAGUUUGGUACACAGCAGAGCUAAGGGCGUGCACUUGCCAAAUAUGGUGUAUGUCGGACUUUCCCCAUUUAUUUUUUCUCACACCAUACGAGAAUUAUACAGCUAAAUAUAUCGAGAUUAACAUUAGUUUCCCCUGCUGAAGCUUGUGCAAUUGUAUUUAUGUUGAGCAGAGAAUUGGUCAACAAUAAAGGAGAACAAGAAUUGUAUUUUGUAUUACUAUUUUUAUACAAACUUUCUUCCCACACCAUUAUGUAAUCUUUCCCUUUUUGGGUUGCAGUGUGGUCUCUGCUAACCAGAUUUUAUAUAUGAUCACUGCUAAAUUACAACUUGAUGCCAAAUGCACAAGCAUCCUUUGCAGAUUUCAAAUGCCCAGUGAUAUCUUAUUACAUACUAGUAGAAUGCCCGUGCGUUGCCACGGGCUUUUAAAGCAUUUUGCUGAAAUUAGUAUAAACAUGUAUAGAAAAGGUAAACCGUAACAAUUGGGUAAUAAUUGAAAUUCAUUUCACGGUGCAAUGUAAGUUGAUUAAAAAGAUAAUUUAAGGGCAUCUUCAACGCUGACCCGUAAACCGGACACCAUAUUCGUUCAUGGAUGCGGAACCAGUCCACAGACAAUGAUACGGGAGCCGGCCAUCCAACCAUAACCAAAAAUGCCCGUAACAAUCUAACUUUAAACAUGCUAAACAAUGGUUAAUUAAAAAAAACAC
rnacentral:lncRNA from 1 species